rfam:Nomascus leucogenys chromosome 10, whole genome shotgun sequence.
AUCACUUCUCAGCCUUUUGGCUAAGAUCAAGCGUAGUAUUUGUUCUUAUCAGAAUAUACAUUUUUCUUAUCCGUGUGUGAAAUAUUCUCCAAAAUAAUCUAUAUGCUUAGUCAUAAUACAAGCCUCA